AGUAAAACAGUACGUGAAAUUGUUGAAAGGGAAACGAUUGAAGUCAGUCAUGCCGGCGUUGGAUUCAGCUUGCUUCGCGGAGCUUGCGCAUUUCCUCGCAUGGCAGGUCAGCGUCAGUUUUGCGCGGCGUGAAAAGGCUCGGGUAAGGUAGCUCUCUUCGGGGAGUGUUAUAGACCUGGGUAAAUGCGCAGCGUGGGACUGAGGAUUGCAGCGGACACCUCUUCGGAGGCGCGGCGACCGAACCCUGCUCGGCCACCCUCGUUCGAUAGCGUGCUAGCGGACGCGGGAGCGGCAGUGCACCGGAACAGGCAAGCCAGCGGUUCGCUUAGGAUGCUGACGUAAUGGCUUUAAA
rnacentral:misc_RNA from 1 species